rnacentral:rRNA from 1 species
UACGUAGGGGGCAAGCGUUGUUCGGAUUUACUGGGCGUAAAGAGCUCGUAGGCGGCUUGUCGCGUCGACUGUGAAAACCCAUGGCUCAACCAUGUGGUCUGCAGUCGAUACGGGCAGGCUAGAAUUCGGUAGGGGAGACUGGAAUUCCUGGUGUAGCGGUGAAAUGCGCAGAUAUCAGGAGGAACACCGGUGGCGAAGGCGGGUCUCUGGGCCGAUAUUGACGCUGAGGAGCGAAAGCGUGGGGAGCGAACAGG